AACUGCAUGAAGAACUGGCACUAGAAAGAAAGAAAGAAAAAUAAAUGAGAAAGGAGAGAGGGUUUUUCCUAUCAACCCUAAUUCUUGAUCAUCAUCAUAUGGGAGAGUUGUUUCUGCCCUUUUUUCUUUUCCUUUUCCUUUUUCUUCCCAGUUCGAAAUAAGGGUUUCCAGAAAUGGGUAUUGUUUGAGGCCUCAGAUCUGAAUCAUUGGUGGAGAGAAAGAUGAAUUUUUGUUUUGUUUUCUUUUGAUGCAAAUGCAACCAGAGCGAGAGAGAGAAGGGGAGAAUGAAUACUACUGACAGAAGAGAGUGAGCACACCGCAGGCAAUUGUAUAAGCGAGUAUACCAUUGUGGUGGACGUGUGCUCACUUCUCUUCUGUCAGCCGCUGCUUCUUAUUUCCCUCCACCGAUGCACCGCCACCUGUGGCUGUUCCUCUCUCUCUCUCUCUCCCUCUCUCUCUCUCUCUCUCUCUCUCUCUCUCUCUCUGUAACUUUUGACUAUUCUGAUCAUCGCACUAGAAAAAGCGAAGGGAAGAUGAAAGGCUUCAAAGACAGACACGCUUAGAUACGACAUAUUCAAAGCUGCCGCUGCCACUGCCACUGCCUUGACACGCCCACCAUACAUUUCAAUGUUUAUUUUCUUUCUCGCUCCCCCCCACCCCCUUCUAUAUAUAUAUAUAUACAUAUAUGUAUUUUCGCUAUGUGCGUCUGACGAUAUAAUUUAUGUGUAAUGAGUUUUGCAAGUGGAAGUGGCAGAAGCAUGGGAAGGCAAUUGGAGAUUAUUAUAAAUGCGUGCAGUGUAUAUUAUAUAUGAUGGAGCGGUGAAGCGUGACUUUUAAUGUACCUAUGUUGGAGAAAACGAAGAGGGUUUUCAAGGGAACUGGUUUUCAAGGAAGAAAUAGACCGAAAGCUUUGUGCGUUUGGGUAUCAAUUACUGGUUGGUGCUUAAGGGAACAAUAUUCAGGUUGUCUGGCAUAACAGCUUAUUCAUCCUUCCAGAAGUCAAGCCAUUGCACGGAAGUUUCAAAACUUGACUGGCAUAAAAUGCUUGAUCCUCUCAUUUCCAGUAGGGCAUUCUUAGCUUCGGAUGGAUGUAAAUUGUUUCUGAGCUGCAGUUCUUGGCAUGGUACUCUUUUUGCUUUUGUGAAGUACUGGUUUUUGCUUGCUCUCCUGCUCUCAGCUUCUUGAAGUGUGAUGCUUUCCUGCAUUGCGAAGAUGAUUGGUCUGCUGAUUUUAUUGAUAGGAAGCUAUUUGGGGCCAGACCUUUCAAACAGGUUUGUCCAAGUUGGAGGAAUUUUCAUGUGUGGAGGUUGACGUCAUAAGAUGGAGGACCUUGACGCUGCGGCUAGUGUGUGAGCCACCUUGUUUUCUGCUCAAUGAGUGUAAAUGAUUGGCAAUUGCUUGUUCCUCAGAAGAAGUAUGAUAUCCAGCACAGACGUUUUUGUUGUCCAUUGAAGCUCUUGAGUCCUGACUAGGGCCUGUAGAGCUCUUGACUUUUAAUGAGCCAGUCUCAGAUUGCAUCUUCACCAUCUUCAGUUUUCUUCUCUGGUCUUUAAUAUCUGCUGGCUGCCUUAAACCUGGGAACUUGCUUUGAGGUCUGAAGGAGAUCAUUGAAGGCAUCCAUGGAUCUUCCCACACACUAAUCAUUUCUCCAUCCCCUAGCAGCAGCUUAAAUGAUCCUCUAGAUCAGGUACUCUUAGUUUGGAGGAUUGCUUUCCACAUUGCGGAACUUGAGGAAUUACUCUCAGCUGGAAGGCUCUCUUUCUUUUUGUGUGGGGCCUAAUAAGAAGGCUUUUACCUCGACAGUAUUUUUGGUAGCAGAGAUGAAGUCAUCUCAGAAGACACAUCUCAUUUCCUACUGCAUGGAGCAUCGGUUAUGGCAUGACGCAGAUUCUCAUCAGCUCCAAAACUUCUAGUUCUAUGUCUAUCUACAUUCAGUAUCAUUGACCUAAACCAUAUGUGGGCCCCCUGUUUCAAAAGUAUUCAAACUUAUCGUCUCAAAUGACAAAUCAAAUAAUUUAGUUUCUAGCUGCAACAUCAUGUCAUCUCUAGCUCCAGUAAUGCCAUUGAUUAUAACACUGAAGCAUUUAGGUAAGGUUCCUUAGCCAUGAUGAAAUGCAUAAUAAUGCUAGGUGACAAUCACCUGUCUAAGGUAGAGAUAUUUUCAUUUUCAAUCACUUUCAAACCUUUUAAUAAUAGCAAAUUAGAUCCAUAUUAUUCUGUAAUUUGAAAUCCUAGUUUACUUGUCUACCAGCAAGGAUUAGGUGAUAAAUCAAAUAGAAAAUUAGAACCGAAAUUGUGAAAACA